rfam:Pelagibacterium sp. SCN 64-44 ABS76_C0081, whole genome shotgun sequence.
CCAGGGUCCGGGCCCCUCUGGCGAGCGCCGCCGGCGCAAUCGCGAUGUCGGACGCUUCA